rnacentral:rRNA from 1 species
UCGAGAAUUUUUCACAAUGGGGGAAACCCUGAUGGAGCGACGCCGCGUGGGGGAUGAAUGGCUUCGGCCCGUAAACCCCUGUCAUUUGCGAACAAACCCUGCAGUUUAAGAGAUGGCAGGCUGAUCGUAGCAGAAGAGGAAGGGACGGCUAACUCUGUGCCAGCAGCCGCGGUAAUACAGAGGUCCCAAGCGUUGUUCGGAUUCACUGGGCGUAAAGGGUGCGUAGGCGGCGAGGUAAGUUUGAGGUGAAAUCUCCGGGCUCAACCCGGAAGCGGCCUUGAAGACUAUCUUGCUAGAGGAUCGGAGGGGAGAUCGGAAUUCUCGGUGUAGCAGUGAAAUGCGUAGAUAUCGAGAGGAACACCAGUGGCGAAGGCGGAUCUCUGGACGAAACCUGACGCUG